rnacentral:rRNA from 1 species
UGGGGAAUUUUGGACAAUGGGCGAAAGCCUGAUCCAGCAAUGCCGCGUGUGUGAAGAAGGCCUUCGGGUUGUAAAGCACUUUUGUCCGGAAAGAAAUCCUUGGCUCUAAUACAGUCGGGGGAUGACGGUACCGGAAGAAUAAGCACCGGCUAACUACGUGCCAGCAGCCGCGGUAAUACGUAGGGUGCAAGCGUUAAUCGGAAUUACUGGGCGUAAAGCGUGCGCAGGCGGUUUGCUAAGACCGAUGUGAAAUCCCCGGGCUCAACCUGGGAACUGCAUUGGUGACUGGCAGGCUAGAGUAUGGCAGAGGGGGGUAGAAUUCCACGUGUAGCAGUGAAAUGCGUAGAGAUGUGGAGGAAUACCGAUGGCGAAGGCAGCCCCCUGGGCCAAUACUGACGCUCAUGCACGAAAGCGUGGGGAGCAAACAGGAUUAGAUGCCCUGGUAGUCCACGCCCUAAACGAUGUCAACUAGUUGUUGGGGAUUCAUUUCCUUAGUAACGUAGCUAACGCGUGAAGUUGACCGCCUGGGGAGUACGGUCGCAAGAUUAAAACUCAAAUGAAUUGACGGGGUCAUAGCUGUUUCCU